rnacentral:tRNA from 1 species
GGGCCAGUGGCGCAACGGAUAACGCGCCUGUCUACGGAUUAAAAGAUUCCAGGUUCGACACCUGGCUGGCUCG